rnacentral:piRNA from 1 species
UGUUUUUUGGUCUCUGUGUG